ensembl:lncRNA
UGAAGCUACAAUAGAAGCUGACAGGUUGAAGCUACAAUAGAAGCUGACAGGUUGAAGCUACAAUAGAAGCUGACAGGUUGAAGCUACAGAUUGAAGCUACGAUAGAAGCUGACAGGUUGAAGCUACGAUAGAAGCUGACAGGUUGAAGCUUCAAUAGAAGCUGACAGGUUGAAGCUACAAUAGAAGCUGACAGGUUGAAGCUACAAUAGAAGCUGACAGGUUGAAGCUACAAUAGAAGCUGACAGGUUGAAGCUACGAUAGAAGCUGACAGGUUGAAGCUACGAUAGAAGCUGACAGGUUGAAGCUACAAUAGAAGCUGACAGGUUGAAGCUACAAUAGAAGCUGACAGGUUGAAGCUACAAUAGAAGCUGACAGGUUGAAGCUACAAUAGAAGCUGACAGGUUGAAGCUACAAUAGAAGCUGACAGGUUGAAGCUACAAUAGAAGCUGAAGCUGACAGGUUGAAGCUACAAUAGAAGCUGAAAGGUUGAAGCUACAAUAGAAGCUGACAGGUUGAAGCUACAAUAGAAGCUGACAGGUUGAAGCUACAAUAGAAGCUGACAGGUUGAAGCUACAAUAGAAGCUGACAGGUUGAAGCUACGAUAGAAGCUGACAGGUUGAAGCUACGAUAGAAGCUGACAGGUUGAAGCUACAAUAGAAGCUGACAGGUUGAAGCUACAAUAGAAGCUGACAGGUUGAAGCUACGAUAGAAGCUGACAGGUUGAAGCUACAAUAGAAGCUGACAGGUUGAAG